GUAAAAUAAAAAUCGUAACAAGGUUUCCGUAGGUGAACCUGCGGAAGGAUCAUUAUUGAAUAAAUUUGGUUUAGACUGUUGCUGGCUCCUUCGGGGGUAUGUGCACGUUUAUUCCGACUUUAUAUAACCACCUGUGCACUUUUUGUAAAUCUGAAAUAACACUCGAGGUAAACUCGGUUCGAAGAAUUGUCGCUGAUGUAGCCGACUUUUCCUCCCAUUUCAGCAUUUACGUUUCACAUAUACCCCUCUAAACAGUAUUUGAAUGCUCCUUUAGGCUUUCAAUGCCUGUAAAUAUAUAUACAACUUUCAACAACGGAUCUCUUGGCUCUCGCAUCGAUGAAGAACGCAGCGAAAUGCGAUAAGUAAUGUGAAUUGCAGAAUUCAGUGAAUCAUCGAAUCUUUGAACGCACCUUGCGCUCCUUGGUAUUCCGAGGAGCAUGCCUGUUUGAGUAUCGUGAAAAUCUCAACCUUUCCAAGCUUUGUUUUUUAACAAGCUAGUCAGGCUUGAACAUGGGAGUAUUUCUGCUGGGACAUAAAGUUUUCAGCUCUCCUUAAAUGUAUUAGCAAGGUUCACCCGUUGAAUCAUCUUUUGAUAUGAUAAUUAUCAAUGUCAUAAAUAGUGAUUCUUCAAAUGGCAUCUUGCUUAUAAUCGUCUUUCAUGACUCCGAUUUGUUUUUUUGUCUCAAAUCAGUAGAC
rnacentral:rRNA from 1 species